AUGUCUCAGUACAAGCCGAAUUAAGGUGAAACCGCGAAAGGCUCAUUAANUCAGUUAUGGUUCCUUAGAUCGUACCCACUUUUACUUGGAUAACUGUGGUAAUUCUAGAGCUAAUACAUGCAAACAGAGCUCCGACCGGAGACGGAAGGAGCGCUUUUAUUAGAUCAAAACCAAUCGGUGGCGGGUUCGCUCGUCAUCGUACAACUUGGUGACACUGAAUAACUUUAAGCUGAUCGCACGGUCUAGCACCGGCGACGCAUCUUUCAAAUGUCUGCCUUAUCAACUGUCGAUGGUAGGUUCUGCGCCUACCAUGGUUGUAACGGGUAACGGGGAAUCAGGGUUCGAUUCCGGAGAGGGAGCCUGAGAAACGGCUACCACAUCCAAGGAAGGCAGCAGGCGCGCAAAUUACCCACUCCCGGCACGGGGAGGUAGUGACGAAAAAUAACGAUACGGGACUCAUCCGAGGCCCCGUAAUCGGAAUGAGUACACUCUAAACCCUUUAACGAGGAUCAAUUGGAGGGCAAGUCUGGUGCCAGCAGCCGCGGUAAUUCCAGCUCCAAUAGCGUAUAUUAAAGUUGUUGCGGUUAAAAAGCUCGUAGUCGAAUUUGUGUCCCGCGCCGCCGGUUCAUCGUCCGCGGUGUCAACUGGCGUGUCGCGGGACGUCCUGCCGGUGGGCUUAGCUCUUAGGGGCGACGCCCAACUCAAUCCCGCCGCGGUGCUCUUCACUGAGUGUCGAGGUGGGCCGGCACGUUUACUUUGAACAAAUUAGAGUGCUUAAAGCAGGCUAAAAUUUCGCCUGAAUACUGUGUGCAUGGAAUAAUGGAAUAGGACCUCGGUUCUAUUUUGUUGGUUUUCGGAACCCCGAGGUAAUGAUUAAUAGGAACGGAUGGGGGCAUUCGUAUUGCGA
rnacentral:rRNA from 1 species